UUCUUAAGCCUUUACACUUUUGUUUUAGUCAAUGGUGGUUUGUGGGUAUUGUAUAAAACUUGUUUUAAAGAAGAAGAACCUAAUUACCCAAAACUGAAAUCUACAACAGAUGGUCCCUUUUUAUCAGAAUAUCAGUUGAUUUGACAAGAUUGUUUUGUUUCAUGAGAAAAUGGGUCCUAGAUUUCAGGUCUGCCUUUUUGUGAUUUUCAUUCAAAUUUUGGUUGUAGCAGCAUCUACCAACUCAAUUGAUGGUCACGAGUCAAUGACUGCUUGACCAUCCGUUCAGGAAGCCCACUGUAAGCGUUCUGGAGGUCAAGUCUAGAAAGGGUCUUUAGCCGAGCUACCCUUUUAAAGCCUACCAAGUUAUUUUGAGUGCCUCCGAGUUGGGGCUAGGACUAGAAGGCCAUUGUCAAGCUUUUGAUUGUGAAGUAAACUUUUGUUAUGUGCAUAUGUUAUGUAUAAAAUGUUAAGUUACAAGUUAUGUACAGAAUGUGGGUAAAUUAAUGUUUUUGCAUAUAAAUAUUUGUUCAUAUA